GUAUGCUUAUUUGCCUCACUCACUUCCAGCAUGGCCAUGUAAGCAGUGCACAGAAGUGGGGGUGUGCCCAGGCCUCAAAUGUUUGGGCUUGUCCUCUGGUGCUCCUGCCUUCACCGUGAGAUGUGUAUACACUGUGUGAGUCACAGUUCUACAAUGGAGAGAUACAUGGAGCAGACCUAACCCAAGCCUAGCUGAGUUCAGCCAACCUGCGGACCCAAGAGUGAAAAGAAAGAAAUGUCUGUUGUAAGCCACUGAGAUUUGGGGAUUAUUUGUUACACAGCAGUAUCACAGCCAAACCUAACUAAUGAGUGUUCAUGGUUUUUUUCAUUGCAUGGAACUGCUCCAGUACUGAAGUCUGAGAUGCUCACUCUGAUGCAUAUCAUCAAGGAAUUGAGGUUUAGUGAGCAGUUUUUCCCCCCUCCAGACUCCUUUCCAUGACCUUUUCCUGGAGUGUGCAUCUCCUACAUUUAUAGGACAGUUAACCACAUGGAAGAAUUUUGCCUCCUCCCCAACAAGCCAUUCCACAGGCGCUCAGACCCGCCUGUCCCUGACAAGGGCUGUUCUUGUCGUGGGCAGACCUCAGCUUCUUGGGGACAAUGAUGAGGCUGGAGCUCAGAGAGACGGAGGAGCCGCUGAAGCUGCAGCAGCCGGAGCAGAACGCACAGCUGCACAGCCCUCUGGAAAGAACAGAGAAGAGAAGUGGACGUCGCAGACCUGAACCGGGAUGUUCUCUGUGAUGUCAGGUAAUGGGGACCCAGUGAUGAAUAGAGAUUCCUCAAGCUGCUCAGAGCCUAGCAGGGGACCUGGAACCCUAAAGAAGCACAGGCGGAAGGAGGAGGCGAAGAGGACUGCUGUUCACAGCAGGCUUUCCCUGUGAUCAGCCGCCAUCAGCACCCAUGCUCCUGCAGGAUCCCAAGGAAGAGCACAUGCCGACACCUCAGCCCUUCGGCUGGAAACCUUUGGGUGGUCUCCCCGGACAGCCAUCAUCAGCUGGGAAAACUCCUGUCAGUGGAUGCAGUGUCCUUUCCAGAUUCAAUAUUAUGCAAACUGCAUAUCGGCAAAUGGAGUAAACAAAUAUGUCCAUGGAGCUUCCUGAUGCACAUAGAGAUGGGGCCGCCCCAAUACAGAGAUGCAGACCUGCCGAUUUGCACGGGAGCUGCUGAAACUGCCACCCCACCAGCUCUGCUACCACCUCUCUCCUUCAGAACAGAGUCUGAGAGCCUGGGAUGAUGGGCCACUCAGAUGCCCAGCAGCAGGGGACCCCUGGAGUCACACAGACCUAGGGUGGCUGCAGGUCGGAUGGGAGCUCUCAUUGGCUGUGGGGGAGACUCACCACCUGACCAGUCCUGCGCCUGCGCUAAGCCCCACCCUCUUCAGUCCCACCCGAACUGCAAGGCUCUCACCCCCAGGCAAGGCGGAGAAGUUUACGUUUCUUUUUCUCUUCUUUGUUUUUUGAAGUUUACUUUUCAACUCUGUCUCCCCUCUCCGGCAGGCCUGGGCAGGAGGCAGUACCCCAUGUGGCAUCUUUUUGGCAUAGAGAACUUGGCCAAGUCCCUUUCCC